AUAUAUCUUAAUUAAGAUAUAAACAUAUGUAUAUAUAUGUUUCGAUAGAUUAAGGUAGCUCAUAAUAAUAUGUAACAGAACAAUGAGUGCCAAAAGCAAUCUACAUUUUGACUGUUACUUAUGUACAUAUGUAUUGAAUAUUGAUAGAUAUGUUUUAAAGUAAAAGUUGCAGUUGCUUAGAAAAUUCUAUGAAUAAAUUUUGGGCACUCAGUAGUAUUUCUCCUUUUGAUUUACAUGCAUCUCAAAAGAGGGAUAGAAGUUUUUAGUGGACAUGCUUUUAGUGUGGGGUAAAAGGCUUCUCUAAAGGCAAAGAGUUGUUUUAGUGGAAUUUGAAGUCUGAAGUUUACUUUUGACAUAUAAGAGCAUAUGAUUCUAGACUUCUGGUAUUGGACCAAGGAGGAGAAAAUGGAGGUAAUGGAAGUGUAAGGUUCACAAGUUCAGAAGAUAAGAUGUAUCUUGUGAAUAGUUGUGAUGUCCUAUUUCAACUUGAAUUUUUUGGGAUCAAGUCGAUUUCCACACAAGAAAAGGUUCUGUGAAUUCAUUUUCAUAAUCUUGAGGAGGCAAUAUCAGAUAAUGUGUCUAGGGGAGUUCUGGUUGAAACAAGUCAAUUUUUAGUACGGGUCAAAACAAGUUUAGACCGAACAGAAUAGCCCCUCAAAUGGGAGUUGCAAUGAUGGGAACACCCCCUUCGGCCCCAAGGGGCAUUCCCGUCCAGUUUUUUUUCUCUCCCUUCUGAUUUUAAACGGGCUUUCCUCUUUCUUCUUUUUCAGACUUUCUCUAACUUUUUGACGAGUGGGAAGCAAGAAUUGAAAUGUUUUAGAUGUAUGAGAAUAAAAAUAAUAAUUAAAAAAAAAUAAGGGAAUGUCUCUUAAUGAAAUGUUCUACUCCUAAGGAAUGGGGGAAUGCCCCUUAUGAUUAGUGUUAGACACGUGUCAUGUAAAGAGUGGAGGAGGGGCAUCCCCUUAAUGCGAGUCUUAGCGUCUCUGCCAAUCUUGAUGUAAUAACUAAUCAACAUAAAUAGGAACAUGUCUUAUCUUACUUCGUUUAUAUUAUUGCAGUAACUGCCAUGAAGAAAGUAUUGGAUAGCAAUUAGCAUUCAGCAAAACAGUGUUUAACUGUUGAAUAUUGGUUUAAUCUUUUAAACGAUAGUUAAUAUGUGUAAUUGCUAUGUUGUUAUUGUCCUACAUAUGGGCUAAUGUUUUCUUGCACAUUGGGUUCGAUUUUUCAUCAUUUGAUUUGGGUUUAAAAAGAUGUAGGCAUUUGUUGAAGCUUAUCUCAUGCUCAUUUGAUUUUUUCUA